rnacentral:misc_RNA from 1 species
CGUGGGGGAGCACCCUCGGAGGAUCAUUCCAAGAACGCCCGGGCUUCGGCCUGGUUAUUCAUAACCCUUUGUUGUCCGACUCUGUUGCCUCCGGGGCGACCCUGCCUUCGGGCGGGGGCUCCGGGUGGACACUUCAAACUCUUGCGUAACUUUGCAGUCUGAGUAAACUUAAUUAAUAAAUUAAAACUUUUAACAACGGAUCUCUUGGUUCUGGCAUCGAUGAAGAACGCAGCGAAAUGCGAUAAGUAAUGUGAAUUGCAGAAUUCAGUGAAUCAUCGAAUCUUUGAACGCACAUUGCGCCCCCUGGUAUUCCGGGGGGCAUGCCUGUUCGAGCGUCAUUUCACCACUCAAGCCUCGCUUGGUAUUGGGCAACGCGGUCCGCCGCGUGCCUCAAAUCGUCCGGCUGGGUCUUCUGUCCCCUAAGCGUUGUGGAAACUAUUCGCUAAAGGGUGUUCGGGAGGCUACGCCGUAAAACAACCCCAUUUCUAAGGUUGACCUCGGAUCAGGUAGGGAUACCCGCUGAACUUAAGCAUAUCAAUAA